rnacentral:lncRNA from 1 species
GAAAGCUAUCUGCUAGGAAUGCCGAGGCCCUCAUCUGGGCCCAGACGACUUGUGGCAGCCCCCACAGGCAUUUUCCUGAACAGAGCCAGUGUUGUGACUGGAUCAGCUCUCGUGGUUCUUAGGAUGAUUGCGAGAUGCGCCCCAGCAACCACCAUCAGAGAACUCGGAAUAACAAGAUUUGUUACUCACAGGUCCUGGAGGUUUCAGGUGUACAUCAUAGUGACUCGAUAUUCAUACACAUUCGGAAAUGAUCACCAUGACAGAACGAGGAGUUGGAAAACCAGAAGAGCAGAGGAGAUGCUGAGAAAGACAAGACUGCUAGCAGGUGUUCCAAGCACAGAGAGCGCAUUUGAAGGCUACUGCUUGGCUUUUGCUUAUGUGUGAACUGGGGGCCAGUUGUCUUACAAGAAUGGUAAAUAAAGGCAAGGAGUUUUUAACCAA